rnacentral:rRNA from 1 species
CCGACCAUACCAGCACUAAUGCACCGGAUCCCAUCAGAACUCCGCAGU